AUGUGUGGGGGUCUGGAAUAACACUCGCUGUUCCUGAAUCACAGUAUUUCCACCUAGGGCAUAACCUUUGAUACAAUUUACUUUAAGAAAACAUAAAUACACUAUAUGACCAAAACUUUGUGGACACCUGAUCAUCACACCCAUAUGAGGGUCUUCCCUAAACUGUUCCCACAAAGUUGGAAGCACACACUUGUGUAGGAUUUCUUUGUAUGCUGUGGCUUUAACAUUUUCCUUCACUGGAACUAUGAGGCCCAAAGGUUGGAGUAGAAGAACUCGAGUGUCCUGCACAGAGCCCUGACCUCAACCCCACUGAACACCUUAGGGAUGAACUGGAACGCCGACUGUACCCCAUGCCUUCUCGUCCGAUUUCAGUGUGUCAUGCGUUUGAUCAUGAUGCACUUUACUUUACUUUUAAGUUUCAUCUAUAGCGUGAACAUAUGAAAAGGGACAGAGCAAGAUCACUAGCGAGGACGCGUGUCCCUCCGCCCUUCAACCUGCUAGCUCGUUAAUUAAUUUACUCUCCACUGAAUGCUCUUGCUCAUCAUAAUUCCAGCCAUUGUUUCUUUCACCUUGCGUUUAAUCUCCUUGCCCUUGUGGACUCGUUCACUCGCUCUACUCAUCGUCUUCUUUAUCCCUUCCUUCACCCCCCGUCCCCCCAAAGCAAGUCCAUAUGACGUGCGUUUUGUCGUUAAAGAGAUGAGCAGCAGUCAUUCCUAUUAAUUGCAGACACUUGGCAAGGUAAAGUCAGACGCAUGGUCCAUCCCAGGGGAAACGCCACCGACCCUGACCUUUAAUCAUUCUUGCUUUGUUUUAACGGAGCAGAGAGAGAGAGGGACAGCAGGGAGAGAGAGAGAGAUAGAGAGAGAGAGGACUAGAGAGUGAUUUACUUGGUAGCAGUGCUGCUUCAGACACACCGGCUGAGUGGCUGUCUGAGUGGCAGCAGAAAUAUUCAGACCUCUGUGUUGCAGUGAAGAACAGAGUGACAGGAAGGAAAAGAGAGGAACAGAAAGCCGAGUGUUAGAGAUGACCUGCAGACUGUGCUGUCUCAUAAAUCCUAUUAGAGAUCAUUUUCAGUGAAAAUGUUAUGAAACAUGUUCGACUUUGUCACCGCAGUUUCCAUCCACUUACCAUACCGCUUAUCCUACACAGGGUCGCGGGGGACAACAGUGAGAUACACAGUGUAGAAGAAGUGGACUCAAAGAUCAGAACAGGACACAGUUACAGCAUAGACUAGUUAGCGAUCUAAAAGAUGAGGAGCGUGAUGGCGUUGACGGUGGUUUUAGCAUGAAAGUUGCGUGUAGUGUGAGCAGAGUGAGCAGACUGUACACAUGAGGAGACUAAAAGACUAAAGCGCUGCUGCAUCGCCCUCUAUAGGUGAGAUGAAGCAAGAGAUAAAUUCCCAUUACUAUUCCCGCUGCUGUCAGCAGGUAGUCAAGCGGCACUGUGGGUGUAAUAAAGUGAAACUAGACCAACACGUCAGUGAAAGAAAUGAUAAAAUUAUCAAAUAAAUCUUGGGCGUCAUCAAAGAUCACAUAUUAAUGAUAAAGUUUGACAUGACAGGUCAUUCAAAUACCCAAUCUAGGGGUGUUCUCACACCUAGUUCGUUUGAGCCCUCCAAACGCUCUCGGAGCGGUUCAGCGUGUAUAUGAGAACAAACCAAGUGAUCUCAGACUCCCCUAAAAGGACCCCAAAGCGAACCGUACAUCUCAGUGUGAUAGAGCAAACAAUGGCAGAUAAGUUUGUUCCGCUGAGGUGCCGGAGGUCAGAAAAUUAGAUGUUGUGUGUAGUGCGAGCAGGGUAACGGUAUCAUUUAUUUAUUUAUAAAUAGUGCAGUAGAGCAGUGCCUGCUUAUCAGUGUUUUCACAAUGAGGUGAUGAAUGGCAUCAUUGGCAUUUAACAUGACUUAAAUUGACUUUCUAUGAUUUCUCAGUCAUCAGCUUCAGUUAAUCAAACAUCUCGGUUGCUUUGACUACAUGAUUGUUGGUGCCAGACGACUGGUUUGAAUAUUUCAGAGCCUGCUGAUCUCCUGGGAUUUUUACACACAACAAUUUAUAGAGUUUGCACAGAAUGGUGAGGAAAAAAAGCCCAUCCUGUGAGCGUCGGUUCUCAGGUGGAAAUGCGUUGUUGAUGAGAGAGGUCAGAGGAGAAUGGCCAGACUGGCUCAAGCUAACAGGAUUUCUAAGGUAACGCAAAUAACCACUUUUUACCACUGUGGUAAAAGAAUGUAAAACCUUGAGGCGGAUGGGCUAGAACAGCAGAAGACCACAUCGGAUUCCACUCCUGUCAACCAAGGGCAGGAAUCUAAGACCAGGUGAUGUUUUUCUCGUCUGGAAAAACAAGUUCAGGUGAACCUGUACACACCGUGGCCUCAGAUUCCUGUUUUUGGCUGACCGUGGUGGAACCCUAUGUGGUCUUCUGCUGUUGUAUUGUGUUGUGGAGCAAGCUGUUAUCUGUCGAGUAGAUUUCUGUCUCUCUCUACUUCCAUUUCUUCCUCUCUGUGGCCUACCACUUCCUAUUCCUCUGCUUCCUGUCUGUCCACAGAACACUGCUCCUACGUACCUCCAGCCUCUAAAGAGCCCGAUUAUUCAUUUCUCCACUCUGUGUGCUUGCUGAUGGCGUUUGCCUGUGUUUUGACCUCUGCCAUGGAAUUGUGGGUGAUUUUUUUCCCCUGUGACCUGCCUCAUCAGCUCGUACGUUGCACUUCUUUUACCCUUAUACGUGUUACUUAUUGUUGUUGUUUUUUUUUUAUAUAGUUUGCCUAAUUUUUUUAUGUAAACACUGAGAUUUUGGACUUAAAAUGAAAGUGUUAUAUAAAUAAAGAUUAUGGUGCAGUAGUAUGCGUGCACUCUUACUUUUUUUUUUCUUGGUGGCAGUGUCACAUGACCUGAGGAACAGUAUUUUACAGACAUGUAUGUGUGGAGGUUUUUCCCGUUUUUUUCCUUUCAGUUCUUCUGCGCAGUUCAGAAUAAACUCAACCAUAAAGCAGAUAACGCAGUAGAAAACAA